rnacentral:lncRNA from 1 species
UGAUAAGUUCUGUUAUCUUCUUUCAUUGCAUUUUAGUGUUUGUUGGUCGUCGUAUAUCUCCAUGCUGAUUGAAAGCUAUUACUGUUCUUGAUUGCCAUGCAAAACGUUUCAGCAUUGAAUCUUCAUAAUCUUUUCCUGAUUUACUUUUGUAUUAUUUUGUGCAUUUCUUUAUACAGAUAUUCCGUCUAUAACACGGUAGAUAGAUUCUUGAAAAGCACUGUGUUCUGUGAAACUGUGUUAUAUGAGACCCAAAGCCAAUACAAAAAGAUAAAUUACAUUCCAAAACCAAUUAAAAACAAGUAAGUUUCCUUAAUUCUGC